rnacentral:rRNA from 1 species
AACUAGAGGAUGGUAGAGGGAGGUGGAAUUCCCGGGUGUAGCGGUGGAAUGCGCAGAUAUCCGGAGGAACACCAGUGGCGAAAGCGGCCUCCUGGACCACUCCUGACACUCAGACGCGAAAGCUAGGGUAGCAAACGGGAUUAGAGACCCCGGUAGUCCUAGCCCUAAACGAUGUAGACUUGGCGUCGGUGGUUUAAACGCCAUCGGUGUCGAAGCUAACGCGAUAAGUCUACCGCCUGGGGACUACGGCCGCAAGGUUAAAACUCAAAGGAAUUGACGGGUCCCCGCACAAGCAGCGGAGCGUGUGGUUUAAUUCGUUGCUACACGAAGAACCUUACCUGGGUUUGACAUAGAGGUGGUAGGGAAGCGAAAGCGGACCGACCCUUCGGGGAGCCUCUACAGGUGUUGCAUGGCUGUCGUCAGCUCGUGUCGUGAGAUGUUCGGUUAAGUCCGCUAACGAGCGCAACCCUCGCUGUGUGUUACAAGUGUCACACGGUACUGCCGGUAUUAAGUCGGAGGAAGGUGGGGAUGACGUCAAGUCAGCAUGACCUUUAUAUCCAGGGCUACACACACGCUACAAUGGUCAGUACAAUAGGUUGCCAAGCCGCGAGGCGGAGCCAAUCCUAAAAAGCUGGCCUCAGUUCAGAUUGCAGUCUGCAACUCGACUGCAUGAAGUUGGAGUUGCUAGUAACCGCAGGUCAGCUAUACUGCGGUGAAUACGUUCCCGGGGAUUGUACACACCGCCCGUAAGGGCG